ensembl:Mt_tRNA
GCACUAAAAGCUCAGCCCUCCGAGCGUUGGUCUUGUAAGCCGAAGGAGAAGGUUAAAUUCCUUCUUAGUGCU